AGGGCAUAUUUAUCUACUUGAUUAACCCAAAACCUGAAGGCUUCUGUUCAAUUCACAGAACCCACCUUCUUCCUCCUACAGAAGGGACUGAUGGCCAGAGGCUCCCAGGUGCUCUUUGAACUUUAAGCCUCUUUGAGCUUCAUGGACUGGUCAGCCACUGGAUUUUCAACCUUUUCAUUACGGAGACAGCCAUGGUUGGACUACCAGGAGAUCAGGAUAUCAGAAUGGACAACAAAAGAAGAGCGAAUCAGGAGACUGAGCA